GACGAAGGGUCCUAGCGUUGUUCGGAAUUACUGGGCGUAAAGGGCAUGUAGGCGGCCUUGCAAGUCAGAUGUGAAAGCCUGGGGCUCAACCCCGGAAGUGCAUUUGAUACUGCAGGGCUUGAAUAUGGUAGAGGAUAGCGGAAUUCCAGGUGUAGUGGUGAAAUACGUAGAUAUCUGGAGGAACAUCAGUGGCGAAGGCGGCUAUCUGGCCCAAUAUUGACGCUGAGAUGCGAAAGCGUGGGGAUCAAACAGG
rnacentral:rRNA from 1 species